UACAGAGGGUGCGAGCGUUAAUCGGAAUUACUGGGCGUAAAGGGCGCGUAGGCGGUUCGUUAAGUCCUGUGUGAAAUCCCCCGGCUCAACUGGGGAACGGCACAGGAAACUAGCGGGCUUGAGUUCGGGAGAGGGAAGCGGAAUUCCGGGUGUAGCGGUGAAAUGCGUAGAUAUCCGGAGGAACACCGGCGGCGAAGGCGGCUUCCUGGACCGACACUGACGCUGAGGCGCGAAAGCUAGGGGAGCAAACGGG
rnacentral:rRNA from 1 species